UUUAAAGUCUAACCUGCCCAAUGAGGAGUUGAAUGGCCGCGGUAUUUUGACCGUGCAAAGGUAGCAUAAUCAUUAGUUUUUUAAUUGAAAGCUGGAAUGAACGGUUGGACGAGAAAAUAGCUGUCUCAAUUUAAUUGAAUUAGAAUUUUAUUUAUAAGUAAAAAAGCUUAUAUAAUUUUAAAAGACGAGAAGACCCUAUAGAGUUUUAUAUUUAUAAAUAUAUAAUGUUUUUAGUAUAUUUGAAUUUUAUAUACUUAUAAGUAUUUUAUUGGGGCGAUAGAAAAAUUAAAUAAACUUUUUUUAUAUAUAAACAUUGAUUUAUGGGUAAAUGAUCCAAGGUUUUUGAUUAUAAGAUUAAAUUACCUUAGGGAUAACAGCGUAAUUUUUUUUUAGAGUUCUUAUCGAAAAAAGAGUUUGCGACCUCGAUGUUGGAUUAAAAUUAACUUUUGGUGUAGGGGCUAAAAGGUUAGGUCUGUUCGACCUUUAAAAUUUUACAUGAUCUGAGUUUAAACCGGCGUGAGCCAGGUUGGUUUCUAUCUUUAAAUAAAUUAAAUACUUUAGUACGAAAGGAUCAGGUAUUUAUAAUAAUUAUUAUAAAUUGAAUAUUAUUA
rnacentral:rRNA from 1 species